UAAUGGUUUUGAGUUUAGGCCUUCCUUCCUGGUCGCCAGGAAGGAAGGAAGGAAGUAUUCCAUCCUAUUCCUUUACGUAAUCCAAACAUAUAAAUAGACAGAGAGAGAAGCCUCUUCCUCUCUUCCCUUCCGGCGAGGUUUGGAGACAGCAGAUUCCCCACAGCCGGUCUCGUUUCUGUGGGGGAGCUGGGGCCUGGCUGGGCCUACGGGGCCUGUUGUUCCUGCUGAUCUGGAGUCCGAUAGUGUGGUUGGCGGUGUUUGGGCGACUGUGCUAUCCCAAGGAAAGUAGUAAAACUCAGAACCUUAUCAAGUAAGGAAUACAGAAGCAGUGGUUUUAACAGACAUCCAAUUCAAUCCAGUUUUGGCUUUAAUUUAAGAGUAAAACACAGAAGAAAAUGAAGGCCAGGCAGUGGAGAAGCCAUGACCUAUCUCUGAAAAGAGCAGUGGAAAUCCAAAAGAGAAGAGGUUGGGGUAAAGUAUGGGUAUUCUAUUUUAGACUGAUUUUGCGGCCUGCAGAGACUGAAGAGAACUUUCUGAGAAUAGGAAAUAAAAGGUAAUGAUGGCUCACAGAGGUGAGAAAUAGGAUUCAAAAUCUGAACACACACAAAUGAUAAGCAGGGAGAACAAAACCAAGAUGAUUUCAGGAAAUGACAUACUGGUUUUGCAAAUAGAGUAAAAAGGGCUUUUCUUCUUUAAUUUAUAUUGCCACCAUUUUUUUAACUGUCGAUAGCCGACCAAGAAAUAGUAAAGAUUCUAAAACUAUGACUACAUUUCC